rnacentral:rRNA from 1 species
AUACGGAGGGUGCAAGCGUUACUCGGAAUCACUGGGCGUAAAGCGCGCGCAGGCGGCUAUUUAAGUUGGAUGUGAAAGCCUACGGCUCAACCGUAGAACUGCAUCCAAAACUAUUUAGCUAGAGUGUGGGAGAGGAAGAUGGAAUUAGUUGUGUAGGGGUAAAAUCCGUAGAGAUAACUAGGAAUACCAAAAGCGAAGGCAAUCUUCUGGAACACUACUGACGCUGAGGCGCGAAAGCGUGGGGAGCAAACAGGAGUAGAAACCCUAGUAGUCC